GACGAACGCUGGCGGCGUGCUUAACACAUGCAAGUCGAACGGAAAGGCCCCUUUGGGGUUACUCGCGUGGCUAACGGGUGAGUAACACGUGCGUAACCUGCCCUUCCCUUCCUGUUAACUUCCGUCAACUGGGGCUAAUACCUGAUAGGUAUCCUUUCUGCCUGGUUGGGGUUGGAUAGCUUCGUGGGUUUUGGGUGGACUCGCUGGCUAUCAGCUUGUUGGUGGGGUAGUGGGUUACCAAGGCUUUGUCUGGUGGCCGGCCUGGGAGGGCGGACGGCCACAAUGGGACUGGGGUACGGGCCAGAAUCCUAAGGGAGGCAGGAGUGGGGAAUAAUGCACAAUGGGCGGGAGGCUGAUGCAGGAAAGCCGCGUGCGGGAUGACGGGCUUCGGGUUGUAAACCGCUUUCAGCAGGUGCGGAGCUUGUGGUGACGGUACCUGGAGAAGAAGCACCGGCUAACUACGUG
rnacentral:rRNA from 1 species